UACGUAGGGUGCAAGCGUUGUCCGGAAUUAUUGGGCGUAAAGAGCUCGUAGGCGGUUUGUCGCGUCGGCUGUGAAAACUCGGGGCUUAACCCCGAGCCUGCAGUCGAUACGGGCAGACUAGAGUGCUGUAGGGGAGACUGGAAUUCCUGGUGUAGCGGUGAAAUGCGCAGAUAUCAGGAGGAACACCGGUGGCGAAGGCGGGUCUCUGGGCAACAACUGACGCUGAGGAGCGAAAGCGUGGGGAGCGAACAGG
rnacentral:rRNA from 1 species